UCCUGCCAGUAGUCAUAUGCUUGUCUCAAAGAUUAAGCCAUGCAUGUCUCAGUGCAGGCCUUAAUACGGUGAAACCGCGAAUGGCUCAUUAAAUCAGCUAUGGUUUAUUGGAUCGUACCCGUUAAAUGGAUAACUGUAAUAACUCUAGAGCUAAUACAUGCCUCGAAGCCCUGACCCUGCUGCCUACUUGUCGGCCUGUCGGGCGGAUGGGUAGGUAGGUGGGGAAUGGGUGCACUUAUUAGAUCAGAAGCCAACCGACUGUGUGUGCGUGCUUGCAUGUGCACCAGUUGAGGCACCUCUGGUGACUCUGGAUAAUUGUUACAGAUCGCAGUCGGCCUUGAGUCGGCGACGGGUCCUUCAAAUGUCUGCCCUAUCAACUUUCGAUGGUAGGUGACCUGCCUACCAUGGUGAUAACGGGUAACGGGGAAUCAGGGUUCGAUUCCGGAGAGGGAGCCUGAGAAACGGCUACCACUUCCAAGGGAGGCAGCAGGCGCGCAAAUUACCCACUCCCGGCACGGGGAGGUGGUGACGAAAAAUACCGAUGCGGGACUCCUUCAAGAGGCUCCGUAAUCGGAAUGAGUGGACUCUAAAUCCUUUCACGAGGAUCAAUUGGAGGGCAAGUCUGGUGCCAGCAGCCGCGGUAACUCCAGCUCCAAUAGCGUAUAUUAAAGUUGCUGCAGUUAAAAAGCUCGUAGUUGGAUCUCGGUGGUAUUGUUGCCUGUUGGUAUUUGAGCGGUAGUGCGCGACCGACAGUGCUCUAUUGUUCUGCUCGCCUCGACUUCUGUCUGCCUACUCGUCAGUUGGCUCUGCAUUGGUGCUAUUGUGGCGCGAUUGCAUGUGCCGGAUGCUGGAGGCGGGAGGUCGGCGAUGUUGGACGAUGGUGUGGCUGCGGUCAUAGAAGAGUGCUACCGAUUCAAGCCGACGAGGUGGCGAUGCAACCUUUAAGCCAUGUCUGUGGUGUAAUAGCCGCAGGUGCGGGCGAGUGUUGGAUUGUGGUUAGUGGACCGUGCUGCUUGCUAAUUCUCUAGCCCUUAGCGCAGCGCAUUGCAGUGCAUGGGUAGGUUGGUGAGUUGGCUGGUCUGUUGACCGUGCGGUCGGCUCGUCUGCAUGCCUGAGGAUGCCCUUCAGUGGGUGUCCAAUUGGGCGGAUGGCACGUUUACUUUGAACAAAUUUGAGUGCUCAAAUCAGGCCGAUGUUGCCUGAAAAGUUUUGCAUGGAAUAAUGGAAUAGGACUUCGGUUCUAUUUCGUUGGUUUUCGGAUCCGAAGUAAUGAUCAAAAGAGACAGGCGGGGACGUUUGUAUGGCUGCGCUAGAGGUGAAAUUCAUGGACCGUAGCCAGACAGACUAAAGCGAAAGCAUUCGUCAAGCAUGUUUUCAUUGGCCAUGAGCGAAAGUCAGAGGCUCGAAGACGAUCAGAUACCGUCCUAGUUCUGACCAUAAACGAUGCCAACUGACGAUCCGUGGUGGUAGUGCCAAAUACCUUCCCCACGGGCAGUCCCCGGGAAACCUUUAAGUCUAUGGGUUCCGGGGGAAGUAUGGUUGCAAAGCUGAAACUUAAAGGAAUUGACGGAAGGGCACCACCAGGAGUGGAGCCUGCGGCUUAAUUUGACUCAACACGGGAAAACUCACCCGGGCCGGACACUAUGAGGAUUGACAGAUUGAGAGCUCUUUCUUGAUUUGGUGGUUGGUGGUGCAUGGCCGUUCUUAGUUGGUGGAGCGAUUUGUCUGGUUAAUUCCGAUAACGAACGAGACUCCAGCCUGCUAAUUAGUGCGUUUGUCCACUGCAUUUGCGUGGGUGAUGUGGGACGAGGCUGCUGCCACACGUCUGUGCUUGGUCAUCGCUCUGCUGAUUCGCCUUCGUCUUCUCCUACUGUUCUACGUGGUGGCUGCUCUUCGUGAUGUCUUGUCUUGUCUGCACUUGCUGCUGAUGCAGGCUCGUGGUAGUCUGCACAGUUGGCGGUGUAGAGAAGGAGAUUGGAGGAGUGGUGGCUGCUAGGGCGGGUAGGUGAGUGGCGAGUGGUGAAGAGGCAAUGGCGGCUGGCUGAGGACAAGUGGUGGGUCGGUCGGUCACACUUUUGCCCCCGAGUGCGGCGCGAACGCCUACUUCUUAGAGGGACAAGCGGGAGAAGCCGCACGAAAUAGAGCAAUAACAGGUCUGUGAUGCCCUUAGAUGUCCGGGGCCGCACGCGCGCUACAAUGACGGUGUCAACGAGUCAGGCCUUCUGGCCCGAAAGGGUUGGGCAAACUGGUCAAUCACCGUCGUGACAGGGAUCGGGGCUUGCAAUUCUUCCCCGUGAACGAGGAAUUCCUAGUAAGUGCAAGUCAUAAGCUUGCGCUGAUUACGUCCCUGCCCUUUGUACACACCGCCCGUCGCUACUACCGAUUGAAUGGUUUAGUAAGGUCCUUGGAUUGACGCUAUUGUGGGUGGUGUUGGAGAAGCGCGGCGUCGCGAGAUGCUGCGUUGCCGACACUGUCCCGAGGAGUGUUGAGAAGACGACCGAACUUGAUCAUUUAGAGGAAGUAAAAGUCGUAACAAG
rnacentral:rRNA from 1 species